rnacentral:rRNA from 1 species
UGGGGAAUUUUGGACAAUGGGGGAAACCCUGAUCCAGCCAUCCCGCGUGUGCGAUGAAGGCCUUCGGGUUGUAAAGCACUUUUGGCAGGAAAGAAACGUCAUGGGUUAAUACCCCGUGAAACUGACGGUACCUGCAGAAUAAGCACCGGCUAACUACGUGCCAGCAGCCGCGGUAAUACGUAGGGUGCAAGCGUUAAUCGGAAUUACUGGGCGUAAAGCGUGCGCAGGCGGUUCGGAAAGAAAGAUGUGAAAUCCCAGAGCUCAACUUUGGAACGGCAUUUUUAACUACCGGGCUAGAGUGUGUCAGAGGGAGGUGGAAUUCCGCGUGUAGCAGUGAAAUGCGUAGAUAUGAGGAGGAACACCGAUGGCGAAGGCAGCCUCCUGGGAUAACACUGACGCUCAUGCACGAAAGCGUGGGGAGCAAACAGG